rnacentral:rRNA from 1 species
ACAGGCCUAACACAUGCAAGUCGAGCGGAUGACGGGAGCUUGCUCCUUGAUUCAGCGGCGGACGGGUGAGUAAUACCUAGGAAUCUGCCUGAUAGUGGGGGACAACGUUUCGAAAGGAACGCUAAUACCGCAUACGUCCUACGGGAGAAAGCAGGGGACCUUCGGGCCUUGCGCUAUCAGAUGAGCCUAGGUCGGAUUAGCUAGUUGGUGAGGUAAUGGCUCACCAAGGCGACGAUCCGUAACUGGUCUGAGAGGAUGAUCAGUCACACUGGAACUGAGACACGGUCCAGACUCCUACGGGAGGCAGCAGUGGGGAAUAUUGGACAAUGGGCGAAAGCCUGAUCCAGCCAUGCCGCGUGUGUGAAGAAGGUCUUCGGAUUGUAAAGCACUUUAAGUUGGGAGGAAGGGCAGUAAGCUAAUACCUUGCUGUUUGACGUACCGACAGAAUAGCACCGGCAACU